rnacentral:rRNA from 1 species
UACGUAGGGUGCUAGCGUUAAUCGGAAUUACUGGGCGUAAAGCGUGCGCAGGCGGUUUUGUAAGUCUGUCGUGAAAGCCCCGGGCUCAACCUGGGAAUUGCGAUGGAGACUGCAAGGCUUGAAUCUGGCAGAGGGGGGUAGAAUUCCACGUGUAGCAGUGAAAUGCGUAGAGAUGUGGAGGAACACCGAUGGCGAAGGCAGCCCCCUGGGUCAAGAUUGACGCUCAUGCACGAAAGCGUGGGGAGCAAACAGG